rnacentral:lncRNA from 8 species
AUUAGAGGACUCCGUGGGAGGCAGAGAAACCCAGGGACUCGCCCUGUGGAGAACUAAAAUACCCACUAACCUUCAAAAUGUACAAAGAAUAAGUGUUAUUUUACAUUUUAGAGAAUACUGAUUCAACUAUGAGUAAAGGUAAGGGGGAAGUGUUUUAUUUUCAUCUUUGAUAAAAGUCCUGCUUUAGUCCUGUACUAACAUGUACAACACUUCAGCUGAAUUUUGUAUUUGACCUCAUUGCUCAACUUUCACGAUUGCCACAUGAACCAGUGAAUCAGGGAUUGUGAAUAAUUAGAUGUAUCAAUUUGUAGUGGACAAAGAUGUCCCAGUCCCCAUCAUCAAUAUCUCCCAUCAUUCAUCAUGUUUAGGAGCAGGCAAGGACAAUACAUACAGUUUGGCAGCCCCUAACUGUCCCCCCUUUCUAGACUGACCAAAGCAUUGACCAAAGUGUGUGAGCAUCCACCAAGGUCCCUCUGCAAGGAGAGGAGGAUUUGGGGGAGGUAGUAGGAGAUGAUGGAAAUGUAGAGGGAUGGACAUCUUUCUGCAAUCAGCAGGCUUUUGUUUUUUAGAACUGGAGAAAUAACUUUCAGUAUACUUCAAGUUAUAGGAGAAGGGUGGAAACUUGGAUGCUCUCUUUUUCCCUCAAUUUCCUUCUCUGCUCUCUCUCUCUUGCUCUCCCUCUCCCCUUCUCUGCUGUUAGAAUCCCAGUACCAUUCAGUCCAGGGGAGACACCAGCCAGACAUACAAUCUGGGAAAAAGUCACAAUCACCCAAGUGAUUGGUAACUCUAGCUGUCUCCCAGCACAGACCUGCACCUUAGUGACUAUUAGCACGUAGAGAUGACCUGCACCCUAGAGAGAUAUACAUCCACACAUCCAACCCUUACAUACAAGCACACACAGUCAACUCUGCUGUUCUAUUAUAUACUAUGUAUUCAACUGCGCGACCAAGAUACUACCCACUUUAUAGUUGUAAAUAGUCAUAAUUGACAUAGCACAUUCAGUAUCUAUUAUCCUAUUGCUGCUACAUAAAAGGCUAUUACUAAAACACUACCUCUUCUAUUACUUGUUAUUUUGUAUUUAACUCUUAUUAUUGAUAUUGAUUAUUGAUCUGCAAUGAUGGAACUAGCACACAAGCAUUUAAUUUGCCGCACCUUUUAUACCUGCUGUAAACU